rnacentral:rRNA from 1 species
GAUGAACGCUGGCGGCGUGCCUAAUACAUGCAAGUCGAGCGAACGGACGAGAAGCUUGCUUCUCUGAUGUUAGCGGCGGACGUGUGAGUAACACGUGGAUAACCUACCUAUAAGACUGGGAUAACUUCGGGAAACCGGAGCUAAUACCGGAUAAUAUUUUGAACCGCAUGGUUCAAAAGUGAAAGACGGUCUUGCUGUCACUUAUCGAUGGAUCCGCGCUGCAUUAGCUAGUUGGUAAGGUAACGGCUUACCACGGCAACGAUGCAUAGCCGACCUGCGAGGGGGAUCGGCGACAUUGGAGGGGGGCCGGGGACCAGGCUACUGCGGGAGGCAGCAGUAGGGUACCGGCGGCAGUGGUCGGAAGCAUGACGGAGCAAGGCCGCGUGAGUGAUGAAGGUGUUCGGAGCGUAAAGCCGGGUUAUGAGGGAAGAACAGAUUUGGAAUGAACUGUGCACAUCUUGACGGUACCGAAUCAGAAAGCAACGGCUAACUACGUG